UGCCUAAUCGAGACGAAUUGGCAAACUAAGGAAAUGCCCCCUCAUUCGUCUUUGGUAGAUCGAUGACCGAUAACAUGCGGACGUGCCUUAAGGGCUAGGGAUUCCUAGCCAACGCUAUCCCGGCAAAUAUGGAAGUAAAUAACAAGAACCCGAAUUUUGGGUUUCUAAGCGAUAAAGGGUGUGGGUAGUGCUGUAUAGCUGCCUUGAGAAUACGCGUAGGACUGCUUGUUACACAUUGGAAAAAUUUCUCUCAAAUCUGUAAUCUAGGUAUUUGGUUACAUGAGCAUAUGCCGUAAGAUGGGGCCGCAUCUUUUGUUAGCAAGACCUAGAUUGAAAUUCUACAGAAGACCUAAGCGAAAUGCGAUUAUGCAUUAAACGUUUUACUUUUUCAAAUAUAAAACAGACGCUGCGCUGAAACAGAGGGAAAAAGAGGGGA
rnacentral:sRNA from 1 species